rnacentral:rRNA from 1 species
GAGUGAACGCUGGCGGUAGGCCUAACACAUGCAAGUCGAACGGCAGCACAGUAAGAGCUUGCUCUUACGGGUGGCGAGUGGCGGACGGGUGAGGAAUACAUCGGAAUCUACUUUUUCGUGGGGGAUAACGUAGGGAAACUUACGCUAAUACCGCAUACGACCUACGGGUGAAAACAGGGGAUCUUCGGACCUUGCGCGAUUGAAUGAGCCGAUGUCGGAUUAGCUAGUUGGCGGGGUAAAGGCCCACCAAGGCGACGAUCCGUAGCUGGUCUGAGAGGAUGAUCAGCCACACUGGAACUGAGACACGGUCCAGACUCCUACGGGAGGCAGCAGUGGGGAAUAUUGGACAAUGGGCGCAAGCCUGAUCCAGCCAUACCGCGUGGGUGAAGAAGGCCUUCGGGUUGUAAAGCCCUUUUGUUGGGAAAGAAAAGCAGCAGGUUAAUACCCCGCUGUUCUGACGGUACCCAAAGAAUAAGCACCGGCUAACUUCGUG